rnacentral:lncRNA from 1 species
UUAUCAGUUAGGACGUCCCUAUAAAGACGAUUAUUCUGAGGUUUGGAAUUUCCUCUGAGUUCAGUAUUUUUGUGAUUUUACUUAUUUUUGGAUAGGAUCAAACUUUCCAUUGGGCAAAAGAUCUCAAUAUUUCUCAUUCAUUGUUGAUUUGCCCGAUUCAUUACAUUUGCAUGUGUUAUUUCUUUUUCACAUAAAAAAACCAAAAAAUUACCAGACAUGAUUUCCACUGUCUGUAUAAAAAAGAAAGUUGCAUCAAAUUUAACAUGACUGUUAUGUAAGUGAUGAAUAUGCAGGACAAACAAACCGGUAAUAGCAACUAUUUCUACCCCCCCCCCCCCCCCCCCCAUCAUUUUACAGCAUUUCUAGCUUUUCUAAUGUUUAAUUUAUGUUGUUGCAGUUAUCUUUACAUUGUUUGAUAUGGUACGGUUUUUUUUUCAUUUUAAAUAGAGUGUAACUAUUAUUAGAAUUUGUAUGUGUAAAAAUUUACUGUUUGCUGGAAAAUUUUGAAAAGUAAUGACUUUUGUUUACAUACAUGUACUCUAGGAGUAUAGAUUCAAAUUGAUAAGUAAAUAACAAGUUUUCAGGAAAAAUUUAAUUCAGGUAAAGAUCGGAGAAUAACAUUGAUAUGUAUAUGAUGUAUUCAUCCAUCAAACCUUGGCUGGGACUUCAAUAAUUUGCCUGUAGUCACCAAAUUUGUUAAGAACAUACCAAUAGCCAUUUGAAUUUAAGACUAUACUCAGUCAUAAGUUGUAAAGAUAUUUGUCUCAUGAAAUGAAUGAAUAAUGUAUUAUGAUUCAUUAUAGAUUAGAUAUAUGAAACAAAGAUUUAUGAAGUUAUAAUUUGAAUAAAAGGUAGUAAAAAAAGGCAAUUGUAAGUUUUAUUACUAUUGAUAAUCAAUAGUAAACUAAUUACCAAAUGAAAUAUUAUUUAUUGAAAUUUUUUUUUUUUUGAAAUAUUCAAAUGAGCUUAUUUGUAAUAAAAUGAAAAAUUACCUGUUUCUGUGAUACAUGUAUAAAGAUGGAAAUAGACUUCAAGUAAAAAAAUGUCAUUUGAUGGUAAAUAGUUUUCAAAAAUAUACCUAAUCCUGUAGAUGAUUUUUACAAAAACACUUUUAAUGAAUUGACCAUCAGAGAAAUUACAAAGCAAAUACAUUAGGAAACUUUAGUGAAGUACAAUUAGUAGAUUUACAUUUUGUUUACUAUUACUGCCGUCCAUAAAUGUAUGUCUAAGUUGGUGAGAAAUUUAAGUUUUAGAUGUUUAUAUAUGCUGUUGAAAUGUUGUUUUAUGUAGAAGAAACAACUUUAUUUGGUAAUUUUCAAAUGCAGACCUCGACACAUUUGUAAUCCGUAAUAUAAUGAUAUAUUAUGUAUUGAUAUUUAGUAACCAAUUAUAACAAAGAGUUGUAUGAUGGUUAUGAUAAAUGUAUGAUAUACAGUAUAACACUGAUUUCUGUACAUCUAUAUGUACCUGCUUAUCUAAUUAGUAACAGCCAUGUCACACCUUUAUUGUAUCUAACUUGACGGUCAAACUUACAUUUUGUCACAAUAUUCCUAUGAGUUCUGCCAGUAAACCAGGAUAAUAAUAUUGUAUCCUAUGUAAAAUCUGUCUAGCCUGUAAUUAUCAAACUUGUUAAGUCCAUACAACUGUGACCCUUAUGACAAGGAGUUCCUAUCAAUAGGGGUAAGAAAGGCACUAGUUUAAACCUUGUCCAUAUCAAAAAUAUUGUAAACCAUUUAGAAUCAAAUCUGUAACCAGCAUUAUUAUCCAGCUCUACAUAAAUGGAAAGGCCAAGUUUUUUGCUAAUCUUGCUAAUAAAUAAUAAUAGAAAAAGUUUACCUUGUGCAACACACCUGUUUACCUUACCCAGCUCACCUGGACUUAAGCUUAGCUUAAGUUACCUGGACUUGUCAGUGACACUCAGUGUCAGAUUUUAUUAAGAAAAAUAAAGAUGGAAAAGACCCCAUUUUAAAAGUUCAAUAGGUUAAGUUUACACCUGAUCGAAUAUAGAAUAAAAAUUAUAACUAGUAGUAGUAAUAUUAUCUCACUCUUGGUUUUCAAGGUGUACUACAAUGAACAUCAAUUUGUCUUUCCAUCCAUAAGGACCAUUUCAAAUUUGAUCUGGGUAAGAAUUUUUCAUACCUGCAGGGCAGUCAAGUGAUUGAUUUUGUUUUAUAUUAACCCUACUAAGUAUGGAAUUCGAUUGUUUUGGGCAAUUCUUAGCUUUUGUUUUAAUGAAUGAUUUGAUGAUUGGUCAGGAAAUUAAUAUUGUGUUAUACUGUGUAAGUGUAUUGAUAUCUGCUGUGCAGUAAUUUCCUCUAUAGUAAUACCUUAAAUUUUUAUUAUAUCCACCGAUCAUGAAAUUUUUAUUUACAUAAUACUCAGCUUAUAUUAUUCAGGAGGAAAUUUAUAUUUUGUCUGAAAAAGUUCAAUCACAACUUGUACCUUUUAAGUUCUUUUCCAAUGUGAAGGGCGGUCACUUCCUUUUUCAGAUAUUUUUGUUAUACCAAUGAAAUUUUCCAUCAGCUUGCAAUUACUAGUGAAGUAUACUUUGCACACUAUGGCAUCAAACCUAUUGUUGAUAUAGUUUAAAUCCUACCAUGUUUUAUUUAAAAUACACAAAUACAUGUUUUCAUUUGAUUAGAAUAAAGAUUUUGACGUGUGGGGACUUUUUUUAAAGAUAGUUUCCUGUCAUAAGUGGUCAUGAUUCCAAUAGAUUUUCUACCUUUACCUAAGGACUUAGCAAAUUGUUUAUAGAAUUUAGAAAUUUUUACUUCUCAUAUAAAUUAUUUUUAUACUAAACAUUCUUGUAAUUAUUGUCUAGAUUAAGGCACUACCAAACCAUCUACUGUUUCAUCCAUAUAUCAAAUUUUUUAAAUCACUGCAUUAAUUGACUCCUCCAGCACAUUUUUUCAUUAUAAGUAGAUAAUAGAUUUUAUAAAAAUGUUUUUUACAUGAGUAAUAAUAUGUCUGUGAUGUUUUGUAAAAAAAUAAAUUGUACAUUUCUAUUUUGUUACCGUUUUAUUUGUUAUAUAUAAUAAACUAUAUAUUG